rnacentral:rRNA from 1 species
UACGGGGGGGGGCAAGCGUUGUUCGGAAUUACUGGGCGUAAAGGCUCGUAGGCGGCCAACUAAGUCAGACGUGAAAUCCCUCGGCUUAACCGGGGAACUGCAUCUGAUACUGGAUGGCUUGAGUUCGGGAGAGGGAUGCGGAAUUCCAGGUGUAGCGGUGAAAUGCGUAGAUAUCUGGAGGAACACCGGUGGCGAAGGCGGCAUCCUGGACCGGCAUUGACGCUGAUGAGCGAAAAGCUAGGGGAGCAAACGGGGAU